UUCCCAACGCCCUCCUUUCGUGUUUCUACGUAGGCUACGUCAUCAGGUUUCCGACCCAGUAGGGCUUUGCGUUGGUUGAAAAUCAAAGCGCGCGUGCGCAGCGAGAGGUUUUUGAUCGUAGUCUAGGGUGGAUUUUCAGCGUUUCAGUGAGCUUCUGCUGCUUCUUCAGACCUUUCUGUCUUUAAGUCCAGACUCACAGGUCAAAUCCAGACAGGUUCAAUGCUGUGCUUUUUUCGUCCAGAAGGAAAGACUACUCUUGUUAUGGCCUUCCUCUCUCUCCACCUUCCAGGCAGAUAGAUAUUCAAGAGAGAGCUGGAAGGUCGCGAAGGGAUCGCUUCUAUGGGGACUGGCUAGAGGAGUUACGCUAGCUAGCUCUUUCUUCUGACAGUCUUGCCAGUGACCCAUGGGAAACUUCGCUUGCAUUAUGUCCUUUGAAACUCCUUCCUAAGCUCCUCCUUAAUUUCCAGGUUUUGAGUAGUUAACAUUAGGGCUAUGUUGUGAGCAUUUAAUAAGUAAGAUGAAUGAAAAAAGGAAAUCAACAAAUGAGCAGUGUUGGCAGGCGUUGUCUGCCUUCUUCUAAUGUGAAAACUAAGGCUUAGAUAUCUAAGAUAACCACCUAAAAUGCGUCGUAGAGACUGGAACCUAUGUUGUCAGCCACCAUGUCUUUCUCACUGUACUCAGUCCCAGAACCCUGGAGGUGCAGAGGCCACAGAUUUUACCUGACCCCUGUGAACUAGAUGCUUUUUGGAGGACUGGUUUUGAAUAAUUCAGUGGACAGUUAUCUGGUCCCUGCCAUGUGGCUCCUCUCUCCAUCUUCAAAGGGUCUGGAAUCUAGUCUCCAUAAUUCCAGUUCUAUAAAACCAUAACCACCAGACUGAAGAUUAUGCUUGACUUUGGAGAUCUAUGUUCUAGUGCUAUCUCAAGCUCCUAGGACCUCUCCCAAUUUUUAAAUUUUUAAUAAUAAUUUAUAUAUUUGU